rnacentral:rRNA from 1 species
GCUCGUAGGCGGUUUGUUGCGUCGGCUGUGAAAACCCGGGCUCAACUGUGGGCUUGCAGCCGAUACGGGCAGGCUUGAGUUCGGUAGGGGAGACUGGAAUUCCUGGUGUAGCGGUGAAAUGCGCAGAUAUCAAGAGGAACACCGGUGGCGAAUGCGGGUCUCUGGGCCGAUACUGACGCUGAGGAGCGAAAGCGUGGGGAGCGAACAGGAUUAAAUACCCUGGUAGUCCACGCUGUAAACGUUGGGCGCUAGGUGUGGGGGGCCUCUCUGGUUCUCUGUGGAGCAUCUAACGCAUUAAGCGCCCCGCCUGGGGAGUACGGCCGCUAGGCUAAAUCUCAAAGGAAGUGAGGGGGGCCCCCACAAGCGGCAGAACAUGCUGAUUAUUUCGAUGCAACGCAAAGAACCUUACCUGGCUUUGAUAUGGGCGGUAAUCCGGCAAAGAUGUCGGGUCCUUCGGGGCCUUUCACAGGUGGUGCAUGGCUGUCGUCAGCUCGUGUCGUGAGAUGUUGGGUUAAGUCCCGCAACUAGCGCAACCCUCGUUCGAUGUU